rnacentral:misc_RNA from 1 species
CGUUAGCGCAGGCUUUCUCUCGCUGCCAUAAGAUAUCCUGCUGUAGUGUUACCGACUCAUGCAUAUUAUUAUGUGCUUUCUCAGCCUCUCUCGUACAAGUUUUGAUUUGAAUUUCGAGACGUAUAUAGAGUUAAAGCUUCCCAAAGUCAACGAGUAUUUUGAGAAUCUAUUCUUUAUUUCCCCUUCCCUGUUGAAUUUAAUUUAGAAGUUCAAAUAUUGCAAGCUUCUUGUAUUAUAUUCAAAAUGUCCACUUUAUUCCCG